rnacentral:hammerhead_ribozyme from 15 species
AACUGGUCAGGAGCUGAUGCCACUCUCCUGAGGAGGCCAUGGCAGACCGAAACCAGUU